AUUGAACGCUGGCGGCAGGCUUAACACAUGCAAGUCGAGCGGGGUGAUGGUGCUUGCACUAUCACUUAGCGGCGGACGGGUGAGUAAUGCUUAGGAAUCUGCCUAUUAGUGGGGGACAACAUCUCGAAAGGGAUGCUAAUACCGCAUACGUCCUACGGGAGAAAGCAGGGGAUCACUUGUGACCUUGCGCUAAUAGAUGAGCCUAAGUCGGAUUAGCUAGUUGGUGGGGUAAAGGCCUACCAAGGCGACGAUCUGUAGCGGGUCUGAGAGGAUGAGCCGCAACACUGGGACUGAGACACGGCCCAGACUCCUACGGGAGGCAGCAGUGGGGAAUAUUGGACAAUGGGGGGAACCCUGAUCCAGCCAUGCCGCGUGUGUGAAGAAGGCCUUAUGGUUGUAAAGCACUUUAAGCGAGGAGGAGGCUCUUUUGGUUAAUACCCAAGAUGAGUGGACGUUACUCGCAGAAUAAGCACCGGCUAACUCUGUGCCAGCCGCCGCAGUAA
rnacentral:rRNA from 1 species